GUCACGGGGGAUCAGGGAUCAAUUCCGGAGAAGGAGUCUGAAAAACGGCUACCGCAUCCAAGGAAGGCAGCAGUUGUGCAAAUUACCCAACCCCUUCUCGGGAAAGUAGUGAUGGGAAAAAAAAACGAUGCAAGACUUUUUCCAUACCCCGUGAUUGGAAUGAUGAUUGCAAUGUAAAGAAUGAAAAGUAUCAAUUGGAGGGCAAGUCUGGUGACGGCAGCUGCAAUAAUUCCGACUCCAAUAGCGUCCAUUUAAUUUGUUGCGGUUGAAAAGCUCGGAGUCGGAUCUCAGUUCGGAAUGGAGGGUCGGCCGAAAGGCUGCAGACCUUUCCGUUUGCCGGCGUAUGGCCGAUUUCCGGGGAUGAUCUUUGCCGGUUGUACCUGGAGUCUGGGUAGUUUACUUUGAAGAAAAAAAAUACGAAAAAUAAGAGUGCUCAGAGCAAGUCUAGAUAAUGGUGCAUGAAAUAAUAGAAUGGGACCUCAAUUCUAUUGAGUUGGUUUUCGAAACUCGAGCUAGUGAUCAAAAGGGACAGACAGGGUAUUCGUACUGCGACGCUAGAGGUGGAAUUCCUAGACUGUCGCAUGACGAACGACUGCGAAAGUAUUCGUCAAGAAUGUUUUCAUUGACCCAAAGUGAAAGUCGGACGUUCGAAGGUAAUCAGAAACCACCCUAGUUCUGAUCAUAAACUAUACCAGCCAGCAAUCCGGUUGUGUUUCAGAAACGACACACCGGGCAGCUUCUGUGA